AUUGAACGCUGGCGGCAGGCCUAACACAUGCAAGUCGAGCGAGAGGCGGACGGGUGAGUAAUGUCUGGGAAAAUGCAUGAUGGAGGGGGGUAUCUACUGGAAACGGUAGCUAAUACAGCAUACCAUCAGAUGUGCCCAGAUGGGAGUAGCUCGUAGGUGGGGUAAAGGCGCACCUAGGCGACGAUCCCUAGCUGGUCUGAGAGGAGGACCAGCCACACUGGAACUGAGACACGGUCCAGACUCCUACGGGAGGCAGCAGUGGGGAAUAUUGCACAAUGGGCGCAAGCCUGAUGCAGCCAUGCCGCGUGUGUGAAGAAGGCCUUCGGGUUGUAAAGCACUUUCAGCGGGGAGGCGUUACCCGCAGAAGAAGCACCGGCUAACUCCGUGCCAGCAGCCGCGGUAAUUC
rnacentral:rRNA from 1 species